CCCUUAGAUGUUCUGGGCCGCACGCGUGCUACACUGAGUGGAUCAGCGGGUCAGGUUGCGCGAAAGUGUUUCCUAAUCUUUAAAUCCGCUCGUGAUGGGGAUUGACGGUUGCAAUUUUCCGUCAUGAACGAGGAAUACCUUGUAAGCGCGGGUCAUCAUCCCGCGCUGAAUACGUCCCUGCCCUUUGUACACACCGCCCGUCGCUCCUACCGAUUGAACGUUUUAGUGAGGCAUUUGGACCGACGCAUCUCAGUUUAACCGCUGGUUUGUGUUGGAAAGACUUCCAAACUUGAGCGUUUAGAGGAAGUAAAAGUCGUAACA
rnacentral:rRNA from 1 species